CACACAUUCGGGAAUGAAGUGCUCCCGUAACCGUAAUUGGUAAAACCGCUUGAGAGAGCUGAUGACUUCUGUGAAUAC
rnacentral:ncRNA from 2 species